CGGAGGCGGGGGCGGGCGCGGCGGAGGCGGGGCCCGCGCCGGGCCCGCCCGCUCGCCGGGGGAGCCGCCGGCAGUGGCCGAGAAGGCGGCGCGGCGGACGGCGGCCCGAGAGUAGCGCCCGCGCUGCGGCCCGCGGGACCGCGCCGCGACCGCCGGGGCCGGCCUCGAGGAGCGCCCGCUGCCGCCGCCGCCGCGCGCGGAGCGAGGUCGGGGCAUAGACGGCUCUUGGUGGACGUGGCAGCUCCAUGGGACUCUGGGACCUUGGUGGCUCCAGCUCUCUUCUCUGCCUUCCCGGGGUCGAGUCUUCAUCCUCGUGGCCUGAGCUGUCACAUUCACAUUCCACAAAGCAGGAUGGAGGAAGAACAGAAGAGGAUGCACGUUGUCGUUGUCAGUUGCUAAGUUGUGUCCGACCCCAUGGACUGCAGCAC
ensembl:lncRNA